rnacentral:rRNA from 1 species
GACGAACGCUGGCGGCGUGCCUAAUACAUGCAAGUCGUGCGGACCUUGUUGAAAGCUUGCUUUUAAAAGGUUCGCGGCGGACGGGUGAGUAACACGUGGGCAACCUGCCUGUAAGACUGGGAUAACGCCGGGAAACCGGGGCUAAUACCAGAUCGUUUUUUCCUCCGCAUGGAGGAAAAAGGAAAGGCGGCUUCGGCUGCCACUUACAGAUGGGCCCGCGGCGCAUUAGCUAGUUGGCGGGGUAAUGGCCCACCAAGGCAACGAUGCGUAGCCGACCUGAGAGGGUGAUCGGCCACAUUGGGACUGAGACACGGCCCAAACUCCUACGGGAGGCAGCAGUAGGGAAUCUUCCGCAAUGGACGAAAGUCUGACGGAGCAACGCCGCGUGAGUGAAGAAGGCCUUCGGGUCGUAAAACUCUGUUGCCGGGGAAGAACAAGUGCCGUUCGAACAGGGCGGCGCCUUGACGGUACCCGGCCAGAAAGCCACGGCUAACUACGUG